GAUGAAGAACGUAGCGAAAUGCGAUAAGUAAUGUGAAUUGCAGAAUUCAGUGAAUCAUCGAAUCUUUGAACGCACAUUGCGCCCGCCAGCAUUCUGGCGGGCAUGCCUGUUCGAGCGUCAUUUCAACCCUCGACAUCCCCUUGGGGAAGUCGGCGUUGGGGACCGGCAGCACACCGCCGGCCCCGAAAUUGAGUGGCGGCCCGUCCGCGGCGACCUCUGCGUAGUAAUCCAACCUCGCACCGGAACCCCGACGUGGCCACGCCGUAAAACACCCAACUUUCUGAACGUUGACCUCGGAUCAGGUAGGAAUACCCGCUGAACUUAAGCAUAUCAUAAGCGGAGGA
rnacentral:misc_RNA from 1 species